rnacentral:rRNA from 11 species
GCGAUCACAGUGCCCAGCUACCAACUCAAAUCAAGCUUAAAUACGUGAUCUUGGAAACUAACCAGGGUCAAAUCUGGUUUGUACUUGGUUGGGAGACCGCCAACGAAUAUCUGGUAUCAUAGGCA